rnacentral:rRNA from 1 species
ACGGCUCAGUAACACGUGGACAACCUGCCCUUAGGACGGGGAUAAACCCGGGAAACUGGGUAUAAUACCCGAUAGGUCUCGACUGCUGGAAUGCAUCGAGAUCUAAAGCUCCGGCGCCUAAGGAUGGGUCUGCGGCCUAUCAGGUAGUAGUGGGUGUAGUGUACCUACUAGCCUACGACGGGUACGGGUUGUGAGAGCAAGAGCCCGGAGAUGGAUUCUGAGACACGAAUCCAGGCCCUACGGGGUGCAGCAGGCGCGAAAACUUUACAAUGCUGGCAACAGCGAUAAGGGAACCUCGAGUGCCAGGUUACAAAUCUGGCUGUCGUGAUGCCUAAAAAGCAUUGCAUAGCAAGGGCCGGGCAAGACCGGUGCCAGCCGCCGCGGUAACACCGGCGGCUCGAGUGGUAACCGUUAUUAUUGGGUCUAAAGGGUCUGUAGCCGGCCGGAUAAGUCUCUUGAGAAAUCUGGCAGCUUAACUGUCAGGCUUUCAGGAGAUACUGUCUGGCUCGAGGCCGGGAGAGGUGAGAGGUACUUCAGGGGUAGGGGUGAAAUCUUGUAAUCCUUGAAGGACCACCAGUGGCGAAGGCGUCUCACCAGAACGGACCUGACGGCAAGGGACGAAAGCUAGGGGCACGAACCGGAUUAGAUACCCGGGUAGUCCUAGCCGUAAACGAUACUCGCUAGGUGUCGGCCACGGUGCGACCGUUGUCGGUGCCGUAGGGAAGCCGUGAAGCGAGCCACCUGGGAAGUACGGCCGCAAGGCUGAAACUUAAAGGAAUUGGCGGGGGAGCACCACAACGGGUGGAGCUUGCGGUUUAAUUGGAUUCAACGCCGGG